UACGUAGGUCCCGAACGUUGCGCGAAUUUACUGGGCGUAAAGGGUCCGUAGGCGGUUUAGCAAGUGGUUGGUGAAAUUUCACGGCUCAACCGUGAAACUGCCUUCCAAACUGCUAAACUUGGGGCAGGGAGAGGUCGGCGGAAUUCCCGGUGUGGCGGUGAAAUGCGUAGAUAUCGGGAGGAACACCAGUGGCGAAGGCGGCCGACUGGAACUGUCCUGACGCUGAGGGACGAAAGCUCGGGGAGCAAACCGG
rnacentral:rRNA from 1 species